rnacentral:rRNA from 1 species
AUUGAACGCUGGCGGCAUGCUUUACACAUGCAAGUCGAACGGUAACAGGCCUUCGGGUGCUGACGAGUGGCGAACGGGUGAGUAAUGCAUCGGAACGUGCCCAGAGGUGGGGGAUAACGCAGCGAAAGCUGUGCUAAUACCGCAUGUGAUCUGAGGAUGAAAGCGGGGGACCAGGCAGCAAUGUUUGGCCUCGCGCCUUUGGAGCGGCCGAUGUCAGAUUAGGUAGUUGGUGGGGUAAAGGCCUACCAAGCCGACGAUCUGUAGCUGGUCUGAGAGGACGACCAGCCACACUGGGACUGAGACACGGCCCAGACUCCUACGGGAGGCAGCAGUGGGGAAUUUUGGACAAUGGGUGCAAGCCUGAUCCAGCAAUGCCGCGUGCGGGAAGAAGGCCUUCGGGUUGUAAACCGCUUUUGUACGGAACGAAAAGGCUCUGGCUAAUACCUGGGGCUGAUGACGGUACCGUAAGAAUAAGCACCGGCUAACUACGUG